GCCUGAGUGGUGAAACUGGUAGACGCGCCAGACUCAAAAUCUGGUAAGGGCAACCUUGUGUCGGUUCGAG
rnacentral:tRNA from 1 species